GAUGAACGCUGGCGGCGUGCUUAAUACAUGCAAGUCGAGCGAACGGACGAGAAGCUUGCUUCUCUGAUGUUAGGCGCGGACGGGUGAGUAACACGUGGAUAACCUACCUAUAAGACUGGGAUAACUUCGGGAAUCCGGAGCUAAUACCGUAUGAUAUUUUGCACCGCAUGGUUCAAAAGUGAAAGACGGUCUUGCUGUCACUUAUAGAUGGAUCCGCGCUGCAUUAGCUAGUUGGUAAGGUAACGGCAUACCAAGGCAACGAUGCCUAGCCGAACUGAGAGGGUGGUCGGCCACACGGGAGCUGAGACACGGUCCAGACUCCUGCGCGAGGCCGCAGAAGGGAAUCUUACGCAAUGGGGGAGAGCCUGACAGAGCAGCGCGGCGUGAGUGAUGAAGGUGUUCCGAGCGGAAAACUCUGUUAUUAGGGGAGAACAUAUGUGUAAGUAGCUGUGCACAUCGUGACGGUACCUGAUCAAGAAGCCACGGCUAACUACGUG
rnacentral:rRNA from 1 species